rnacentral:tRNA from 1 species
GCCUUCGAGGUGUAAUCUGAAGCACAUCCGACUCGUAAUCGGGAGGUUAGGAGUUCGAGUCUGUGCGAAGGCA